UACGUAGGGGGCAAGCGUUGUCCGGAAUCAUUGGGCGUAAAGAGCUCGUAGGCGGCUUGUCGCGUCGACUGUGAAAACUCGGGGCUCAACUCCGAGCUUGCAGUCGAUACGGGCAGGCUAGAGUUCGGUAGGGGAGACUGGAAUUCCUGGUGUAGCGGUGAAAUGCACAGAUAUCAGGAGGAACACCGAUGGCGAAGGCAGGUCUCUGGGCCGAUACUGACGCUGAGGAGCGAAAGCGUGGGGAGCGAACAGG
rnacentral:rRNA from 1 species